rnacentral:tRNA from 1 species
CCUUUGGUAGCUCAGUCGGUAAAAGAAUCUGCCUGCAAUGCAGGAGACCCAGGUUCAAUCCCUGGCUCAGGAA